UUUAUACUCCCUCCGUCCGGAAAUACUUGUCCUAAAAAUGCAUAUAAUUGAUGUAUUUAUAAUUAAAAUAAGUCUAGAUACAUUCAUCUUUAGGACAAGUAUUUCCGGACGGAGGUAGUAUUUA
rfam:Hordeum vulgare subsp. vulgare, WGS project CAJW01000000 data, contig: morex_contig_44643